rnacentral:rRNA from 1 species
CGAGGAAAAGAAAUCAACCGAGAUUCCGAAAGUAGCGGCGAGCGAAAUUGGACUAGCCCUUAAGCUUUACACGCGUUAGACGAACGGUCUGGAAAGUCCGACGAUACAGGGUGAUAGUCCCGUAGUUGACGACGUGUGUUCAGUGAAAUCGAGUAGGGCGGGACACGUGAUAUCCUGUCUGAAUAUGGGGGGACCAUCCUCCAAGGCUAAAUACUACUGACUGACCGAUAGUGAACCAGUACCGUGAGGGAAAGGCGAAAAGAACCCCUGUGAGGGGAGUGAAAUAGAACCUGAAACCGUGUACGUACAAGCAGUAGGAGCAGGCUU